UAAGGAAUAUUGGUCAAUGGGCGAGAGCCUGAACCAGCCAUGCCGCGUGCAGGAAGACGGCCUUAUGGGUUGUAAACUGCUUUUAUCGGGGAAUAAACCUAUCUACGUGUAGAUAGCUGAAGGUACCCGAAGAAUAAGCAUCGGCUAACUCCGUGCCAGCAGCCGCGGUAAUACGGAGGAUGCAAGCGUUAUCCGGAUUCAUUGGGGUUAAAGGGUGCGCAGGCGGAUUGGUAAGUCAGUGGUGAAAUUCAACGGCUCAACUGUUGAUCUGCCAUUGAUACUGUCAGUCUAGAGUAUAGUUGGAGUGGGCGGAAGGUGUCAUGUAGCGGUGAAAUGCUUAGAUAUGACACAGAACACCGAUCGCGAAGGCAGCUCACUAAGCUAAAACUGACGCUCAUGCGCGAAAGCGUGGGGAUCAAACA
rnacentral:rRNA from 1 species